AAUUGCAAAAUCCUGUGUGAUGCAAUGAUCUAGUGCAAUUACCCGACGAGACACCGGAAACCGGACGUUGUUUUCUCAAAUAAACAAAAAGAACAUACU